UGACCUCGGAUCAGGUAGGGAUACCCGCUGAACUUAAGCAUAUCAUAAGCGGA
rnacentral:rRNA from 1 species